rnacentral:rRNA from 1 species
UACAGAGGGGGCAAGCGUUGUUCGGAAUUACUGGGCGUAAAGGGCGCGUAGGCGGUCUGUCGCGUCGAAUGUGAAACCCCGAGGCUCAACCUCGGGUCUGCAUUCGAUACGGGCAGACUAGAGUUCGGUAGGGGAGUCUGGAAUUCCUGGUGUAGCGGUGAAAUGCGCAGAUAUCAGGAGGAACACCGGUGGCGAAGGCGGGACUCUGGGCCGAUACUGACGCUGAGGAGCGAAAGCGUGGGGAGCGAACAGG